rnacentral:lncRNA from 1 species
AGUUGCUUGAUGCCGAAAACACUAGCAUCGAUGUUCCUGUUUCUCCAUUAGACUGGUGGCUGCAUGUUGCUGCCAAGGGCGCUCUCUCUCUCACUUCAACUCGGUAUGGGAGGAGGGUGCGACCGGCUACGCUACACUUUAAUGCAUGAAUAUAAACGUAGAAGGAUGGAUACGGAGGUACAGUAUAUGUACAGCGUAUAUAUAUAUAUAUAUAUAUAUAUAUAUACAUAUGCGAACAGUAUGCGUCUCAGUAUGCCUAGUUCUGUUUUGUGGAAAAAGUGAUGUCUGCCCCUGAUGCCGCAGCAGCCGCUUACCUUGCUUCAGGGAGACAGAGAAAAAUGGCCGCAAACGCCAUGUCCUGCGCAGUACCGAGUCUCUGGAGAGGAAUGAACCGUCGUAGCAUAUUAAGGUCUUUGUAUUGCCCGUCGGCCUGAGAUUCUUUCUGUAGCAUCUUGGGCUCCACGCUCGAAGAUAACCCUUCGUCGUUGUCAAAGUCCUCUGUCGGGUCUGUGGGUUUGCAAGCGCCAUUUCCACUGGUGUCUGCGAAUCCUUGCUGUGGAACCGGAUUCAACUUGUUAAAGCCGACGGUGCCUUCUACAGGCCCAGGCGCAAUGCAGUUCACUCGAAUGUUGUACGGCCCCCAUUCCACCGCUAAGUGUUUAGUCAUGGCAUCGAUCGCUGCUUUGGCUGCCCCAGCGUGAGUCUGCAGUAGCGCCGCUGUAUAAUGGAGAGUCAUAGAAAUGUUCAGAAUUACUUUUUCGCAGGACGCGUCGCCACUGUUCCUCCUAUCGAGUCUUCCUUCUGAUCCUCGGCCUGCAGCAGUUUUGGCGCGUUGUAUUGCAGGUUUGAAGCAUUUCUCGAAGACAGUUUUCGACACUAUGAAUGUGCCAUGUGCGUCGAUCUCCAUUACAGUCUUAAACCCUUUGUACGUCAGUUUUUCAGCGGAGCACAGAAAAUUCCCUGCGGCACCGUUCACAAGAAUGUCUACUUUUCCAAACUUUGCCAUAGCAGCGUCUACUGCCUGUGCUACUUCCUUUUCGCUACGCACAUCCAUUGCUACAGGGAAGCAGCAGCCACCGGUCUCGGAACUAAGGAGCUGAAGAAGACACCGCAACAUGACCGCAAGGAAAGUGCUUUACAUGUGCAUUGUUGCCUGCGUCUCACUGGCGUCAUGUAGGACUGUGCAGAAACGAACGACCCCCUCAAGGGGAAGGCGAUCAUGGUAUACAAGCAUCACGUUCCUGCACAUCUGGCCAGAGCGCUAUGGAGUGGUGGGUAGAAACUGUGUAUAGCUGUGUCCCACACUCAAGGGAAGGGCAGAUCGUGACAAGCACUAAAAAGAACAAACUGAAGGCGGAGAAGCGCAGACGUUCACAAUGUGGGCAGAAAACAAAAUGUAUCUUCUUCAAGCUAGUGUUGCAGCUGAUAGCAUGUGUCUACGUUGCAAAAUCGUCUACAGGAGGGCUGCAAACAGCCAGUAACCAGAUGUGUUCUGUGCGGCAACAAUCUUGUGUAUUCUCUCUUGCAUCAGCAUCACACGGUCGCCAAAGGGGAUACAAGUUGGGGCCUCACCUUUGCUGCGUCCUGGAGUUUUUUUUUGUUCCUUGAGGCGAUUACGACAGAUGCGCCAUGCAGCAAGAAUUGUUUGGCGAUUUCUCUACAGAUGCCUGAGCCACCUCCAGUGAUGAAAGCGACCUUACCGUGGAGGCAAUCUUGCCGGAAAGAAGGUUGCCGUCUGUCAGACUUCAUGGCGUGUUGGGCCAGUCACGCCAGCUCAAGCUAACACGUAGGAAACGAGUUCGUAUCUGUAUCAAAUGCCAAAACUGGGACGAAUACAGUGUUGGUGCUCGCUUUUGCCCGCUUAAAAAAAGGGCACUGACAGUCAAAAACCAAUGAAACGGACCGCACGCCUACCACGUAACAGCAUAAAGUCACCUCUUGCGUUGGUACAUCAACAGAAGGAUAGCAGAGGACCUGAAGAUAGAAACUCAACCAUCAAAUUCCGGUCCAAGACAUUGGCUCUGCCAGUUGCAACUGAUUCAAGACCUCCUGCAUUAUUCUAGAUGUCCUGACUCUCAAAAUAACUACAGGACACUCAUGGUAGCGCUGGGAAGCGUGUGCGUGCGGUGAUCGGCACUGAGUGUGUUCUCUAAGCCACCGUAUGUUCUGUGCAGUUGGUCAAAAACCGAC